AUCCUUUCCAGGUAAUGACUGAACGUUCAUGCUGUUCUGUGAUGUGCCUCCCCCUAAACCUUGUUAUGACGUCACCAUAUUACUUGCCUGACA
rnacentral:snoRNA from 1 species